ACAACCUAACUUUUACUCGCCUUGGAAAGAAUUGCUACUAUGGGCUGGAGAUUAAGAGGAGAAGAUGAUGAAAUACCACCUGAAAGACAGGCACCCGACUACGGUCCUAACAAUGAUUAUUUCACUAUUAGAAUGCAUUUAUUGCUUGAAUUGUAUGAAAUGGCCAAAGAACUGCAUAUAAACACAGAUGCAGUGACAUUCUUUUACAGUAGAGAUGGGAUAAAUGAUUGCGACUCAAUCAGUAUGAUGAGCACAAAUGCUCAUACCUUAGAGCUUAUAAAUUUUGUUAAUGACAGAAUAAUAGGGAUCUUCUUAGAUCAUGGACAUGGGUUAGAAAGAAGUCAAAAUGAGUCUAGUUCUAGGGCUCACGAUUUUGAUAAUGAGGAAAGUGAAGAGGGUGAAAGAGCUGAAGUGAGCCAGGGGUUAGUAGAUGAGGGGAUAACAACUGAAGUGAGCCAGGGGGUAGGAGUUAUAGUGAUAAGAGAAUAAGUGAGCCAGGGGGUAGGAGAUGAGGGGAUAAGAACUGAAGUGAACCAGGGGGUAGAAAAUGUGCAAGAGUUGGAUGGGGGGAUAAAGGGUGAUGAAAAUCUGCAAGGGAUACAAGAUGAUAGAAACUGUAUGGAGAGCCGUGAUGAACAAUCUGUAGGAGAUGAUUCUUUCUAUUCUGAUGUGUUGGUGGAUAGUGAAAUGGGCUUGAGUGAUAAAGUCAGUGACUGGGGAAUGGAAGUGAACUGGUGUGGUUUACAAGGGAAGGGAAAAAGAGCAGUUACUCAAAACUCUUCAUAAGGCAAAAAUCUUCAAAUGUAUAGAGCCAGAGGCAAGGUUGCUAAAAUGGCUGCAGGGCGUGAAGAUAAACAGUAUGGUAUGCUGCAGAGAUUGUGAGAUCUAACCCUAAUACCACUUUCAAGAUUAAAACAACAGAGGUUGAGGGUAAUUUGUAUUUCAAAAGAUUUUAUUGUUGUUGGGGUGCUCUGAAAACUGGAUUACUUAAUUUUGUAGGUCACUAAUAUGCCUUGAUGGUUGUCAUUUGAAAACUGUUUAUGGUGGAAUAUUACUGUGUGCAGUAGGGAUUGCCAAUAAUUGCAUGUAUCCAUUUACAUAUGCAGUAAAAAGGAGAAAAAAAAAUACAUGGCUUUGGUUUCUGGAGUUGUUAAUUAAUGAUUUAGAAAUCCCCACUGAUAGCAGCAAUUGGACAAUAAUGUCAGACAAGCGAAAGGGCUUAUAGAAGCUAUUGAUAUGUUAUUACCACAUUGUGAGCACAUAUUCUAUGUGCUGCAUCUCUACAAUAAUUUCAAAUGGUACAUAAGGGUUUAUCUUUAAAAAUGAUUAUGUGGAAAGUUGCAAAGGCUACAAAGAAUUGUUGACCUUGAAAAAAUAUUAUGUGAAUUGAGGGAUAGAGAUAAGCAUGCUUUCAAAUGGCUAGCAAAAAAGCCUGCUGCACAGUGGUCCAGAGCAUAUUUAAGAAUCCAUUCAAAAUGUGACAUCCUAUUGAAUAAUUUGUGUGAGAGUUUUAAUGUCACAAUUGUGGCUGCAAGGAGUAAGCCUAUUGUUGACAUGUUGGAGACUGUUAGAAUGAUGUUGAUGAAAAGGAUCUAUGUUAAGAGGGACCAGAUAAAAAAAUAUAAAGGGAAUAUUGUGUCCAAACAUACAAAAAGUGAUGGAAGAGCUGAAGAUGAACAGCAGGGAAUACAUUGCUCAUUGGAAUGAUCAGUUUGAGAUUGAAGGGUGUUAGAGUGACAUACACUGAAUCUGACUGAGCAGACAUGUAGUUGCAGCAAGUGGCAGCUCACUGGAAUACCUUGUGCACAUGCAAUUUCUAGCAUGUUUUUUUUUUUUUUUGGGAUACAAACUAGAGGACUACGUGGAUGAAUGCUAUUAGAAGCCUGUGUUCAUGAAGGUUUACAGUCACUUAAUAACGUUGUUACAUGGACCUGAAGAGUGGCCAUAGUCAGAUAGAAAGCCAUUUUGUUGCCUCCAAUCAUAGAGAGGAUGCUAGGUAUGCCAAAGAAGCAAGACAGAAAGAAGACUCCCCAAGAACAUGAAGAAAUGAAACAGAGAACAAAAAAGAAGAAACUUGAAGUCACAAAUUGUGGGCAGCAUAUUGGUAUACUGGGAAGACAGGGCUUUCUAAUGACUUGCAAGAUAUGUGGAACUGCAGGCCACAACUCAAGAACAUGCCCUCAAAACCCUAAAAAUCAGCAACAAGAGCAGAAUGUUGAGGUGCCUCCAGCAGAAAAAAAUAGAAAAUGCAAAAGAAAAGCAGAUGCAAGGCUUGCUACACAAGAACAGAAUGUUGAGGUGCCUUUAGCAGAAAAAAAACCAAAAAGGCAAAAGAAAAGCAUUGCAAGUCUUGCUACACAA